UGCCACAUCAGCAACCCAAAAAACUGUGGCCACGUAGCUCUCUUUACAAGUUCUUUCUUUUGUUUUGUCUUUUGAAAUUCACUUGCCAAUUAGAUAAGUUUGAACGACUCGGCUUCCUCAUAAAGUCAUAAUCUCCCUUUUUCUUCGUAACAAAACCUCUCAUCACCUUCCUCUCAUCAAAUAAUUUCGCUCGGAUUGAAGAUGCGAAUGGAGUUUCAUUCAUCACCGCAACGAGCCCAGCGACCAGAAUUUUUGAAGGGAUAUCAAGAGUGUUCUUCAGUCCACCCUAGGCAUAAGAGCAUUUAAAACUUGGAGUUAGAAAGACAAAUAUGUUUUAUGUAGAACUAUCCGCGCAUCUGUGUUGUAAAAACAAGCACACCGAAGCUUUGAAGAUGUGUGACGGUGGCAGGGUCAUGCAUGUGUAGAAGAGGAGGCCAUACAAAGAGUCGUUGAUGUUGCGUUACAAUAUGAACAAAUAAUCGGAAUUGUCAACUUAACACAUUGAUCUUCCAAGGCUUACAAAAGUUGUUGUUGGUAAGCUACAUUGACUGCAUCUUAUUUUGACCAAUAGAGCAGAGAGUUUAGGCCUAUUUCUUUAACAUUUGAUCAUGAGGUAUUACACUUUAUUAUCUACCAUUGGUUGUUUCCCAUGACACAAAGCGUUCUUUUCAGUCUUUUAUUGUAAAGGUAAUAGGGAUUCUUUACUUUCUCCCUGCCUUGGGACUCUUAAUGUUAUUAUGGACAGUCUAUUGUGACUUUAGAAUAGGUUAAAUAAUACGUUAGUGUUUCCCUACAUUAUGAAAUCCAUAUAUACGUUUGACCGGGGAAAAGGGGAUGAGAGUUGAUACAAGCAUUCACUAAAAAGGUCAAAUGUAUAGUUUCUUCUCUAAUCUUUCAAUUAUUUUAUAUGCUGGUACCGGUGAUAUGUGGGUUUAAUGCUACGUUAAUGGGUUCUCAGACUCGAUUCAUAAUCUCUGUUUUCUUUCUCAAAAUUAGCAUGCUUUAUUGAAAACGUGGAUGAGCUAAAAUCAAAGGGUGUUGAUGUGAUCAUCUUCUUUGCCGAUAAGUAUGAUUGUUUCAAUGUCAGGUAAGUUUCAGUUACACUAGCCUUCUCACAUUGUCACGUAAGUGUGAUCAUUUUGUUGAGUCUUUUGCAGAAGCAUAUGAAGAGAGUUGGCAUUUGACCGCCCCGGUCGCCCGUUUCAGUUACACUACCCUUCUCACAUUGUCACGUGAGAAAUUAUCAGUUCAGCUGUAGGAAACAGAGGAGUACAAGGAAUAUCAAUUUCCCACAAAUUUGUAUACAAUUGUGAGAGGUUUGAUUUAAAUUGUCGGACGAACAAAAUCUACAUGUAGAUGUAAUACGAGAUCAUGGCACUGAUAAUAGGAAACUUUUUGGAGAAGGAUGUAAUAGUACCAAAAUGAGAAGUAAUGAAAUGGAAAUCAAAGAGAAAAAAUUAUGCCCCCAAAAAAGGAUGGUUAAGACGUGAACCGGUGCACAUUUAUUCGAGGAUAUGUGCAACAUUACAACGAGGCACUUACAAACUCAAAGUUUAAUGUUAUUUCUCUGCUUGGAUUUGAAAAGACUUUAGAGAUUGAUCAAAAUUUAUCAAAAGAAUUGCGGAAAAUAGCUCUUUAGUAUUCAUCAAAAUUCAUGUCUUUCUCA